rnacentral:lncRNA from 1 species
GCUGGAGCUGGCAUGUCAGUUAACUGCUAGUAGUCUGUUGUUAUUUAUGUAGUAUUGUCAUUUUGUUUAUUUUCUUUGGUUACAUCUUCUGACAUCAGACUCGGACUUCUCUUGAACUGAAUUUUAAUGUGCGUAUUGUUAUGCGUUUACUUUUCUACAUUGGCUAGAGGUAUAGGGGGAGGGUUGAGAUCUCACAAACAUGUUUAACCCUGUCGCAUUUUUGCGCCUGUCCCAAGUCAGGAGCCUCUGGCCUUUGUUAGUCUUGUAUUAUUUUAAUUUUAGUUUCUUGUGUACAAUUUGGAAAUUAGUAUGGCGUUCAUUAUCACUGAACUAGUAUAUAUAUAUUUGUUUAGGGGCCAGUUGAAGGACGCCUCCGGGUGCG